rnacentral:rRNA from 1 species
AUUGAACGCUGGCGGCAGGCCUAACACAUGCAAGUCGAACGAGUGGCGGACGGGUGAGUAAUGUCUGGGAAACUGCCCGAUGGAGGGGGAUAACUACUGGAAACGGUAGCUAAUACCGCAUACCAUCGGAUGUGCCCAGAUGGGUUUAGCUUGUAGGUGAGUUAACGGCUCACCUAGGCGACGAUCCCUAGCUGGGCUGCGAGGAUGACCAGCCAAUCUGGAACUGAGACACGGUCCACACGCCGACGGGAGGGAGCAGUGUGGAAUAUGGCACAAUGGUCGCAAGCCGGAUACAGCGAUGCCGCGUGGAUGAAGAAGGCCUUCUUGUUGUUAAGUACUUUCCUCGGGGAGGCGUUACCCGCAGAAGAAGCACCGGCUAACUCCGUGCCAGCAGCCGCGGUAAUAC